AGUGUUGUGAGGUGAUCAGAGUCACACAGCACAUAUGAUACAUGAUGGAUAGUUAGUCUAUGAUCAUUAUUUGAUAAUGAUUAAAAAAAUUAAGGAGCUUGAAAGUCUCGACAUGAUCAUGCAUAAGGAAUUGCUUAUUGAUUUGAUCCUGUGAUCCCUGAUUAGUUCAUAUGGAUAGUUUGUGAUAAACUAUCAUAUGAAAGAUCAUCAUGGCACUUUAUCUGAAUUGAUCAAAGUGUU
rnacentral:lncRNA from 1 species